AAGAUCAUACUUUCAGGGAUCAUUUCUAUAGUGUUUAACUAGGAAAUGUGUUUUGAAAGUCGUGAGUCUUCUUAUCCACGAUGAUGAGUUUUGAUAUUCUUUUCUGAGCGUGAAUCGGUCACAAUGUAAUGAUUUUGUUCAUAUACGCUGUGUCAUUGAAGAACGUUCUUCAUCACAUUAAGUGGUGUAGAAGAAAAGAAUAUGACCAGAGUGGU